UACGUAGGGUGCAAGCGUUAAUCGGAAUUACUGGGCGUAAAGCGUGCGCAGGCGGUUUUGUAAGUCUGUCGUGAAAGCCCCGGGCUCAACCUGGGAAUUGCGAUGGAGACUGCAAGGCUUGAAUCUGGCAGAGGGGGGUAGAAUUCCACGUGUAGCAGUGAAAUGCGUAGAGAUGUGGAGGAACACCGAUGGCGAAGGCGGCAUCCUGGCCCUAUCCUGACGCUGAGGCGCGAGAGCGUGGGGAGCAAACCGG
rnacentral:rRNA from 1 species